AAAUUGAAGAGUUUGAUCAUGGCUCAGAUUGAACGCUGGCGGCAGGCCUAACACAUGCAAGUCGAACGGUAACAGGAAGCAGCUUGCUGCUUCGCUGACGAGUGGCGGACGGGUGAGUAAUGUCUGGGAAGCUGCCUGAUGGAGGGGGAUAACUACUGGAAACGGUGGCUAAUACCGCAUAA
rnacentral:rRNA from 2 species